UCCAUGGCCAUUUCACCCUGAACACACCUGAUCUCAUCUGAUAUCGGAAGCCAAGCAGGGUCAGGUCUGGUUAGUACUUGGAUGGGAGAAAGCAAGUGGGGAGAGCCAGGGAGGUAAUGUGU
rfam:Fukomys damarensis contig87397, whole genome shotgun sequence.